rnacentral:tRNA from 1 species
GGGCCCUUAGCUCAGCGGUCAGAGCAGGCCCCUCAUAAGGGCUUGGUCGCUGGUUCGAUCCCAGCAGGGCCCACCA